UGGGGAAUUUUGGACAAUGGGGGCAACCCUGAUCCAGCAAUGCCGCGUGUGUGAAGAAGGCCUUCGGGUUGUAAAGCACUUUUGUCCGGGAAGAAAUCGCACCUGAUAAUACCGGGUGUGGAUGACGGUACCGGAAGAAUAAGGACCGGCUAACUACGUGCCAGCAGCCGCGGUAAUACGUAGGGUCCAAGCGUUAAUCGGAAUUACUGGGCGUAAAGCGUGCGCAGGCGGUUGUGCAAGACCGAUGUGAAAUCCCCGGGCUUAACCUGGGAAUUGCAUUGGUGAGUGAACGGCUAGAGUGUGUCAGAGGGGGGUAGAAUUCCACGUGUAGCAGUGAAAGGCGUAGAGAUGUGGAGGAAUACCGAUGGCGAAGGCAGCCCCGUGGGAUAACACUGACGCUGAUGCACGAAAGCGGGGGGAGCAAACAGG
rnacentral:rRNA from 1 species